AUUUUUUGAGGUGAGAAAUGGCUCCUCACACGCUAAAUUUAGUAAAUAGAGAUGCAGGAUACCCGACCUGCCAAAAACU
rnacentral:ncRNA from 1 species